GCAGUCACUGAGAGUUGGGAUACCCCAGAUGCUUGAGGCAAGUGUUGGAAACAAUAUGAACCUUAUUUCCAAUACCAAUAACGGUUGUAUGGUGCUCAUUAAUAAAUGCGCUCACUAUCCUGCAGAUUAUGGAAUAUGAAGAAAAGUCUGUGUUCGACUACACAUCUUCGAGUUAUCAGACAUUAUCUUGUCAUGGCUCAGCAACCGUGAACGGGAGCGAAUAAACUGUGCAAAUGCAUGCUACGUGAGUGUAGUGCGUGUCAUUGGAAUAAAACGAGGGGAUCCUGCGUUUGUAAUGCGCGAGUGUGUGUGAAAAGAAGGUGGGGGUGAGAAACCACGUCGUGUUUUGACCCCCCCAAACAACUCCCGACCACCAUCUCUCCCCACAUAGUCUCUGCCUAUCUCAAUGUUUAAAGCAACAUCACUCAAGUCGCUGUGACAUUUUCCAGCCUGCCGCGACAGUCCAUGGACAGCGAGAACGGCCAAAAAGGACGCUACUUCUCCUCGCCAAGCAUCUCGCCUGCGAGCCGGACCCAAAAACAUAACGUGCGGACCUACCACAACGCUCUCGAAACCGAAGCCCAUGCAGGAUAUCUCGAGCACGGCCUGAGAGUGACUAUAGCCUAUACGUCAAAUCUAGGUUUCGAUCAUCUGGAUACAGGAGGCAGAACGCCUGCGCUGGACAGCGGGUCUGGUCUCAUCCUUCCCGGAGUAGGAUUGGCUUCCGUGUCGCAUGGAUAAGAGGGUAGGAUGGCUGUUUACUCUAUUCUACUGCAUCCUUUACACUCACUCAUCAUUUGUAGUAUCACGGUAGUCUGUAUCAUUCUCUCCAGAUAAUAAUCUUGCUAGUUUGGUUGUUAUGUAGCAUUUUGCCUCUAUGCUCGGUCCUUACGCUUUGACGUAGCGCCCCUCGCUGCCUGUCUAGACUCUCUCCCUGUCCUCCCUCGCGUAGGCCACAUCUCCCAGCUAUACAGGGCCAAUGAAGGCAGCAGCAAUAUGUCAAGGAGUUCACAUCAAUGUAAUAAGGAA
rnacentral:lncRNA from 1 species